rnacentral:rRNA from 1 species
AGAACGAACGCUGGCGGCAUGCCUAACACAUGCAAGUCGAACGGGCCCUUCGGGGCUAGUGGCGCACGGGUGCGUAACGCGUGGGAAUCUGCCCUUAGGUUCGGAAUAACUCAGGGAAACUUGAGCUAAUACCGUAUAAUGACUUCGGUCCAAAGAUUUAUCGCCUAGGGAUGAGCCCGCGUAGAUAGCUGUUGGUGAGGUAAGACUCACCAAGGCGACGAUCCUUAGCUGGUCUGAGAGGAUGAUCAGCCACACUGGGACUGAGACACGGCCCAGACUCCUACGGGAGGCAGCAGUGGGGAAUAUUGGACAAUGGGCGAAAGCCUGAUCCAGCAAUGCCGCGUGAGUGAUGAAGGCCGUUAGGGUUGUAAGCUCUUUUACCCGGGAAGAUAAUGACUGUACCGGGAGAAUAAGCUCCGGCUAACUCCGUGCCAGCAGCCGC